AUAGGUGUGUUAGGCAGAGCCUGCCAAAAUGCUUGAAGUAACUUGUGUUUCCUUGGCAAAAGCUUGGAAUGAGGCCAGAAGGAGGGAGACACUUGAGAAGGAGAAGGUCUAAACUAACUUGCUGACUUGGAAGACAUAUCCUUCCUGCAAAGAGUUGACAAUCUAGGCAGAGGUGGACUUCACAUACUGUAACAACCGUUUUGCCCAGCACCGGAAAUGUGAGCACAUUAGUGGUUGGGCUCGCCAGUUCCCUUCUCCUGAUUAAUGUCUGCAGCUCAGAAUAAGGUAUUCAUUGAAACUGUGCACUCCUGGUGAACUAAUGGGUUCUUUCAGUGAGGCUUAAAAUGAAUGUGGACGUUUUCUGGGCGUCCUGAUGCUGGUCAUAGGAGAGAAGUAGAGCAUAGACCGUCUUCGCUUAGCUCUGCUCUGCUAAUCUGGCAUUAAAACUACUGUC